CUUUGGGGUUUUUUAGUACUAUCUGGUUUUGUUAUCAAAGUAAUUCUAUAAUCACAAAAUUAACUGGCAUAGUAUCCUUUCUGCCUUAUUCUUUUGGUCAAGUCAUCAGAGCCAGGAUCAAGGGGAGAGCACAUAGAGUGCAAAGAACUUUGGGGCCACAUUUAAAGCCACCAUAAAAUUCAGUUAGGCAUUCUGAAUUAUGACUCAAAAGGCAUUAUUUCAGGAACAAUUUAAUGGGGAAUAAUACUGUGCUUUCAGAACAUCACAGGCUAAACUUUUGGGUGGGGGCAGAAAGAAGGGAACCAUCUGCCUUUGUGGCUUGUCUGCAUUGUUUCUAUGGGAAAUGUGUUCUGAAUUCCUAAAACAAUGUGCAAACAAGCUUUUUUAACUCAACCCUUUGUUUGCUGUAUGAUGUUUCUUAAUUCUGAAAUGUAAAAAGCCAGUGGGGGUAAGUUGUACAAGGUGACUGGCAGGACCUGCUGGAGCUGAAAAGGAAUUGGAACUUCUUCUUCAUGGACUUCCAUCAUAGAAGCUAACACCACAGGCAAGUUCCCUUCCCCACUGAGGGUGGGCUCACCCAUGCUGGGGACUCCCUGCUCAUCUGACCAUUGAUAGUUUGCCUCCUCUCAUUGACUUCCAAUUGUCUCUUAAUAUGUUAAAUAUUUCCUUUGUUUCCUCUUGUUCCCCCAGAGGCUCAGUCGACUUUGUUCCUCUGCCUACCACCACCUCUGGGUUCUGGAACAGAAUAUCGGACCAAAUUCUGUCAUAGAUGGCAGUACAUGUGACAAUGCCAUCCUCAUGUCAGCAUGCCAGAUGCAGGCAUUGUCCUUAUCAGGAAGAACUGACCGGACCACACAGCAGCAACAGCAUCCCUCACAGUUGGCAUGCAGCUCUGAGGUUCUCAAACUCAGAACGACUGAAAAGAGGUGCCUCCUCGGUUGCAAGAAUUGAAGAAAGCUCUACUUCCCAGAUGCAAGACCAUGCUGCAAGGCUUAUCCAGUACUCCAGUUUCAGACAUGAGAGCGAAUCUACCCAGGACUAGAAGCCAUCAUCCUGAGGUCACAUCUCUGCCUCCUCACCC
ensembl:lincRNA